rnacentral:tRNA from 1 species
GCCUUUGUGGUGUAAUGGCCAACACACUCGACGGGUAUUGGAGAGUUCCGUGGUUCGAGUCCCGGCGAAGACA